AGCGAACGCUGGCGGCAGGCUUAACACAUGCAAGUCGAACGGGCACUUCGGUGUCAGUGGCAGACGGGUGAGUAACGCGUGGGAACAUACCUCUUGGUUCGGAACAACACAGGGAAACUUGUGCUAAUACCGGAUAAGCCCUUACGGGGAAAGAUUUAUCGCCGAGAGAUUGGCCCGCGUCUGAUUAGCUAGUUGGCGUGGUAAAAGCGCACCAAGGCGACGAUCAGUAGCNGGUCUGAGAGGAUGAUCAGCCACAUUGGGACUGAGACACGGCCCAAACUCCUACGGGAGGCAGCAGGUGGGGAAUAUUGGACAAUGGGCGCAAGCCUGAGCCAGCCAUGCCGCGUGAGUGAUGAAGGCCCUAGGGUUGUAAAGCUCUUUUGACGGGAAGAUAAUGACGGUACCGUAAGAAUAACGCCCCGGCUAACUUCGUG
rnacentral:rRNA from 1 species